rnacentral:rRNA from 1 species
UACGUAGGGUGCGAGCGUUGUCCGGAAUUAUUGGGCGUAAAGAGCUUGUAGGCGGUCUGUCGCGUCUGCUGUGAAAAUCCGGGGCUCAACCCCGGACUUGCAGUGGGUACGGGCAGACUAGAGUGUGGUAGGGGAGACUGGAAUUCCUGGUGUAGCGGUGAAAUGCGCAGAUAUCAGGAGGAACACCGAUGGCGAAGGGAGGUCUCUGGGCGACUACUGACGCUGAGAAGCGAAAGCAUGGGGAGCGAACAGG